GGAGACAUAACCAAGAGGAGACCAGUGAGGUCAUUGUCAACUCCUCCAAUGACAGCUUUUCUCUCAAGUCAGGAAUAUCCAAGGCUAUUCUAGAAGCAGCUGGUCAGGCUGUUGAAGGAGAGUGCCAACACACUUGGUAAUGAAACAUUUAC